UUAAUGAUUUUGAUGUUUUUGUGAUCGUUUUAACUUAAUAUAGUUAACCCAGGGGCCAAUUCGUAAGAUUGUUAAAAGUUUAGGGACUUUACAUAAAUGAUUUAUGUGUGUCUUUAAAUUUAUUUGUUAGAUUAUUAAGCCUGCUUGUUAAAUAGAAGUAUUUUGUUAAGUGAUUUUUAGUAAUUUUAAUGUUUAGAGAUUAAAUUGUUUAAAUUGUAAAACUACAUGAAAUUUUUGUAAAAAAAUGAUACAUACGGGCUGCAGAGGGCCCCUAGUAAAUUCGGCUAGCAUGUUUUUCUUUAAAAAUGGUAAAAUUGCAAGUUUCAAGUUUAGGGACUAAAUUGUACAAAAGUUAAAAAGUUGGAUAAUUUUGAAAAAUAGUGAUAGAAAGGCUAAAUUGUAUAAAAUUGCUUAUUUAAGUGCUAGAAAAGUAUUAAUUGAAUGAAAUUAAUAUUUAGAUAAAAAACACUACAACCGGAUUUAAAUCGAGGAAAAGCUAAAGUUUCAGACUAGUUGUCGACUUUUUUUCUGCAACUGUUUUAAUCGAGGUAAGUUCAUAAUUUAAUUAAAGUAAUUCAUUUGAUUUAUAGAAGUAAAUUGAUACUUAUUUAUAUAUGUCUAUAAAUUGGUGAUUGAAUUCAUUGAUUUGAGAAAAGGGAAAGACCAUGAUUGAGAGAUAUCAUGGCAUUAUAAUCAAAAAGGAAAAGACCACAGUUGAAAGAUGCUACGUCACUAUACUGGAAAACGAUCAAGGCCAUAGUUGAAAGAUACUAUGGCAUCACUUCGGGAUUGUGUAAGACAUUGGUUGAAAGAUACCAUAGCAUCUUCGGAACAAUGAAACAAUUGAAAAUGAUAUAAAUGGAAUGACUAUUAUAUCAAUAUUCUAAGGUUCGGUAUGUGAAUAAGAACUUAUGAGUAUUAUAUUAAUGGAUUGAAGUUUAUUAUGCAAAUAGAAGGUUGAAUUGAGUUUUAAAUAAGUGUACUUGUAAUGUUUUAUGCCAUAAUAAAGUCAUUUGUUUCAUUUGGUUCAACAAGUAUUAAUGAAUUAAAAUGUGAGUUAAAUUAUAUGAAGUGUAAUGUGAUUAUGAAUGUUGAAAUGGCGAUGAUGGUUUAAUUCUUUGAAUGGAAUGUGUUAUGCAAAAUGGUAUUUGUGAUGAAUGAAAGAUAUAUUUGGUAUGUUAUUAUUAUGUGUUUAUGAUAAGAUUAUGUGUAUCUUGUUGAGCUCACUAACUUGUUCAGACUUUUGAUGUGUAUAGGAUAUUAUAAGUUCAUGAGCAUGGUAAUAAAAAUUAUACAUCAAGUUUAUAUAAUUGAGCCUAAUCAUCAGAAAGCUCGAUUGGUUGGAAUCUCGUCGAAGUACAAUCACACUAUCCAUUCAUCAUUUUGGUAGUUUUUGGUUACUUUGGUUAAUGAUUAUAAAUGGCAUGUAAUAGGAGCUUUUAUACUAUUUUGCCAAAGUGAUGUGGCUUGAGCUUAUGCUUAGCUUACUUGUGUGUACAUAUGUCCUUGAUUUUGGAUUGUAAAUGUCUACAUGAAUAUAUUUCUUUGGUCACCUAUUUAUGACUUCGAAGUAGGUGACUUAUGGUAGAAUUGGAAUGUGAAUGAAAUGGUUAGCUAGUGUGUAUGAUGAAUGUUUAAGGUUUGGACU